ACGAACGCUGGCGGCGUGCCUAAUACAUGCAAGUCGAACGCUUCUUUUUCCAUCGGAGCUUGCUCCACCGGAAAAAGAGGAGUGGCGAACGGGUGAGUAACACGUGGGUAACCUGCCCAUCAGAAGGGGAUAACACUUGGAAACAGGUGCUAAUACCGUAUAACAAUCGAAACCGCAUGGUUUUGAUUUGAAAGGCGCUUUCGGGUGUCGCUGAUGGAUGGACCCGCGGUGCAUUAGCUAGUUGGUGAGGUAACGGCUCACCAAGGCGACGAUGCAUAGCCGACCUGAGAGGGUGAUCGGCCACAUUGGGACUGAGACACGGCCCAAACUCCUACGGGAGGCAGCAGUAGGGAAUCUUCGGCAAUGGACGAAAGUCUGACCGAGCAACGCCGCGUGAGUGAAGAAGGUUUUCGGAUCGUAAAACUCUGUUGUUAGAGAAGAACAAGGAUGAGAGUAACUGUUCAUCCCUUGACGGUAUCUAACCAGAAAGCCACGGCUAACUACGUGCCAGCAGCCGCGGUAAUACGUAGGUGGCAAGCGUUGUCCGGAUUUAUUGGGCGUAAAGCGAGCGCAGGCGGUUUCUUAAGUCUGAUGUGAAAGCCCCCGGCUCAACCGGGGAGGGUCAUUGGAAACUGGGAGACUUGAGUGCAGAAGAGGAGAGUGGAAUUCCAUGUGUAGCGGUGAAAUGCGUAGAUAUAUGGAGGAACACCAGUGGCGAAGGCGGCUCUCUGGUCUGUAACUGACGCUGAGGCUCGAAAGCGUGGGGAGCAAACAGGAUUAGAUACCCUGGUAGUCCACUCCGUAAACGAUGAGUGCUAAGUGUUGGAGGGUUUCCGCCCUUCAGUGCUGCAGCUAACGCAUUAAGCACUCCGCCUGGGGAGUACGACCGCAAGGUUGAAACUCAAAGGAAUUGACGGGGGCCCGCACAAGCGGUGGAGCAUGUGGUUUAAUUCGAAGCAACGCGAAGAACCUUACCAGGUCUUGACAUCCUUUGACCACUCUAGAGAUAGAGCUUCCCCUUCGGGGGCAAAGUGACAGGUGGUGCAUGGUUGUCGUCAGCUCGUGUCGUGAGAUGUUGGGUUAAGUCCCGCAACGAGCGCAACCCUUAUUGUUAGUUGCCAUCAUUUAGUUGGGCACUCUAGCAAGACUGCCGGUGACAAACCGGAGGAAGGUGGGGAUGACGUCAAAUCAUCAUGCCCCUUAUGACCUGGGCUACACACGUGCUACAAUGGGAAGUACAACGAGUCGCAAAGUCGCGAGGCUAAGCUAAUCUCUUAAAGCUUCUCUCAGUUCGGAUUGUAGGCUGCAACUCGCCUACAUGAAGCCGGAAUCGCUAGUAAUCGCGGAUCAGCACGCCGCGGUGAAUACGUUCCCGGGCCUUGUACACACCGCCCGUCACACCACGAGAGUUUGUAACACCCGAAGUCGGUGAGGUAACCUUUUGGAGCCAGCCGCCUAAGGUGGGAUAGAUGAUUGGGGUG
rnacentral:rRNA from 1 species